AACGAACGCUGGCGGCGUGGAUAAGACAUGCAAGUCGAACGGGACAGACCGAGUAGCAAUAUUUGGAAUGUUCAGUGGCGAACGGGUGCGUAACACGUGGAUAACAUUCCGGAAAGCGGGGAAUAGCCCAGGGAAACUUGGAUUAAUACCGCAUGUGGCCGCAAGGCUAAAGACGGGGACCGCAAGGCCUGUCACUUUCCGAUUGGUUCGCGGCCUAUCAGCUAGUUGGCGGGGUAAUGGCCCACCAAGGCUACGACGGGUAGCUGGUCUUAGAGGACGACCAGCCACACUGGAGCUGAGACACGGUCCAGACACCUACGGGUGGCAGCAGUCGAGAAUCUUUCACAAUGGGGGCAACCCUGAUGGAGCGACGCCGCGUGGAGGAUAAGGUCUUCGGAUUGUAAACUCCUGUCAUGCGAGAACAAGGUACUCAGGCUAAUAACCUGAUUGUUUGAUGGUACCGCAAGAGGAAGAGACGGCUAACUCUGUGCCAGCCGCCGCGGUAACAC
rnacentral:rRNA from 1 species